AGCAGUGUUAGUGCAUAUCAAUUAAUACCAUUUAUUCUAAAACAGGUCUGGGGAAGGCAUUGGAUGCAGCUUCAAAAGAGUGUGCAGGAGUUGUGGAGGCCAGCUAUAGUGAAUCACCUCUACUAGACUGCAGCCUCAACCCCAGAUGGCAACCCAGCGGUCAUGGAGGCCAAAUGGAGAAGUUUAGUCAACCACAUCCAGGACAUCCAUGACCAUGACACCCCUGCCUUCUCCAGUUGUGCCCAUGGCCCUCUAGACGGGGAUCAGCGCAACAAAGAGUGGCUGGAGCCAGGCUCAUUGGCAGCAGUAAAGUUGGAGAACAUAAUCAUGAUGCCUUACUGAAAGAUGUUCAGACAGCUGUCUCCACAGCACCAGACCUCAUCUUGCACUUCGCGCCCAAGCACACAGGGUUUUCAUACCUUGGGAUGUAUAGCAGGCUUCUCUUAGCGGCGCUGCAUUACAAUCACAAUGCCAAUCGCGAGACAGCACGGAGAAGUGACGGGACGGAGAAGUGACGGGACGGAGGAGUGCUGUGUGCGGUAUCGGCGCUUCAGAAAAGGAG